GAACAGGACGAUCAUUCUCGUAGUAGGAACGCGCGUGGGCAAGGCGGUGUAACCGUCGGGCGAAAACCUCCCAUGCGCGAGACACAGGCUCCUCCGGGGGCCUUUUUUAUUGCCCGAA
rnacentral:sRNA from 1 species